CCUACGGGAGGCAGCAGUGGGGGAAUAUUGGACAAUGGGCGCAAGCCUGAUCCAGCCAUGCCGCGUGAGUGAUGAAGGUCUUAGGAUUGUAAAGCUCUUUCACCGGAGAAGAUAAUGACGGUAUCCGGAGAAGAAGCCCCGGCUAACUUCGUGCCAGCAGCCGCGGUAAU
rnacentral:rRNA from 1 species